rnacentral:siRNA from 1 species
UAACCAAAUCAGCCGAUAGGGUAC